CUUUUACAUUCACCUAAGAAGUGAAAAAAUCUCCAGUUUAAUCCCAGCUGGAGACAAAAAUCCCUUGGGGGUGUCAGGAACGGAAAUCCACUGUGAAUAAGGAGAGCAGCUGAAUAAAGCUUUUAUGCUGGAGCCCUCAUGGUCACUAUAUUCAAACACUUUUCACCACAAUCAUAAAACAUCAAAUGAGGAAUUGUCCAUAAAGUCCUGAGUGCUUAACAAGAAGUUGCAAGUUCUUCACUGGAAAUACACCUACUGGUUUGUUGGGGGCAGAUGAUUAGUGCCCAGACUUUCAGAAACAAAUAACCAAACACAGAAAACAUAACAAACCACAAAUGUCUGCCAGGGUUUCAGCACUGAGCUGGGAAACAUCUUGUUAUUUAUGCGAGCUGAGCCUAUUUGAAUAAGAAAAAUACUGCUUCUUUCACAAUAUACCAAAUCUUUUCAUUUCUUUUGCCUGAGUCACUGAGAAAUUUUCUUCACUCCGCAGCCCACCAACUUCACGAACCCAGUGUAUGCCACCCUGUACAUGGGUGCCCACAACAGCCGCAAUUCUCUGGCGAGCACUGAUGAAAAGAAGGAGCUCCUCUCCCAGGUUGACGAGGACAUGAGCGACCCCCUGGCAUAGACCUCGGCAUGGACUGAACUCUGCCAACAUUGCCCUGCCUCGCCCAACCUAGAGCCAGCGAGCUCUCUCAUUUUAUGCCUUUACCAACUGAAAAGAAAAGCAACAAAAAAACAUAAAAACGAGAACACUGUAUAAAAUGUAUAAAAUGAAGAACUACUUUUUUUAAGUGAUUGCAGUAUUAUAUUUUGUUCUUUGACAAAAAGGAAAACAAAUCCUCUGGUGACGGAAAAGAAACCAUUUUAUAGACAUUUUAUCCAGUUCUUUUUCAUUUUGCUCACUUCCUCACAACUUCUCUCUCUCUCUCUCUCUCACACACACACACACACACACACACACACACACACACACACACACACACACACACACACACACACACACACGACCCUUCUGAAAGCAGCAUAAGUAGAGCUUAUCCUACUUGGAAAGCCUUGAUCUGAUCUGAUCUGAUCUGGCACCUACCUCUGAUCUCUGUUCACCCUAUGGGUCAAUCACACACUCACACACACACUUACUCGCUCUUCACCAGGGCACUGUGUGGUUUCUUGGCCAGCAUGUGAAUCAAAUGACAGGUGGAAAAGGUGCUGGGAGAGCAGGAGGUGCAGCCCUCUGAUCAGGGUGUGGCUCUGGCAGGACUCAUUGGCCCAGCAGUCCUCUAAUUUAGAGACACCAACAGGACACCAAGAGCUUCAAAAGAACUGUAGGUACUAUAUGUGCAGUGAUCAUAAUACUUAUUCAUUCUGAACCAAGUAGCAUUUUUACACUCACACACAUUUACUAGAACAAAAGCAGGUCAGAACUGAAUUACUUUGAUGCAAUAGUAUUAGAAACAUCUAGAAAAGCUAAACUAUUAUUUGAUUUUACUCAAUUCACGUUUCUAGGCAGCAAAUAAGAGGUUGGCUAGCUCAGUUUAUGGGGGUCUCUGUCAAACAAGUUCUUCACAGGCUCAACCGUACUGUAUGCCUAAUGUGGACUAAUCUCAUACAAUCUUGUCAGUGCUCUUAAUGCUCCUUUAGCAUAACGCCUGCUGUUGAGACAUCAGAAGUCAUAAUAUACAGUCAUCUUCUUUAUAGUGAAGUAAAACUGAGUGAUAAACAGUCAAAACUCUCCACUGUAGUCACACUAUAUGUAUUUGUGCAACUUUUUUUCAUUGCACUUAGUCUGCUAGGCAGCUAGUUUCUGUGUUGGAUGGAUUCUUAUUUAUCAUAGACUGCAUAUAAAACAUGGUCAUACUCGCUACAUUUAGAAGCCUGAAUUUAGGAAUAUAACCGCUGCUGUAGUUUUUGGUACUUUUUUGGAGUCAGAAGUUAGCCCUACUGUAUUUGGAUACAAGGUGCAGAGUGUGCUAAUGCUUGCAAGCUUGGUUAGCUUGCAACUGUUAGCAAGGGGGCUUUGCUCAUGUGCUUUCAUGUCAAAAAGUCAUCAUAAAUAAGUCUCCAAUAACACCAGAAAAAGUCGCCAGAUUUGUCGCUAGUCGCUUUUUAGAAAAAAAGUUGCUAAGGGGGUCUGAAAACUCGCUAAAUAUAGCGACAAAGUCUUUAAGUUGGCAACACUGGGUAGCACCCAUGUGGUGGAAAGGUCAGGUUCAGUGAUUUUAAAGUAUGGGGAGUGAGGGCUCCCCCUCCCCCUAAAGUAACCAGUCACACACAUCUAAAUGUAUUUUCUUGUACCUAUAAACAUGAUCAUAAUGUUUUUCUUGCUAUUUUAACACUGGUGUGUAUGUGACCGACUUACUUUUGGUGCCAGCCACUAGAGAAACUCCCGUUUUUGGCACUUGUGCUUCAUUUUUCAGCCUCCGUAGUUUCUCCAUGGAUAUGUCUCCAAGUCCCUGGUGGCUGGCUGCAGUAUAGGUCAAACCCUUGCCCUGCCCCCCAAAAUAAAAGUCUGUCUCAAAAAAACCCACAUGAAAUAUGUCUUCAGUUGUACAAAGUACUUUUUUAUUUUUACUUCUGAAAAUCAGUGUUCCUUUUGUAUGUAUUGUACUGUAUGAAAACCUUCCCCUCACACCCCCCUGUUUGUCUUUGUAAUUUAUGCUUGUAGUUUCACAGAAAGAUUACUACCCUUUGAAAAUAGGACGUUUCAAACUGGAUUGACACAAUAAAAACAUACAAUGACUCGUGUCACGCAC
ensembl:lncRNA